rnacentral:rRNA from 1 species
AUUGAACGCUGGCGGCAGGCCUAACACAUGCAAGUCGAGCGAGCGGCGGACGGGUGAGUAAUGUAUGGGGACUGCCCGAUAGAGGGGGCUCACUACUGGCAACGGUGUCUAAUACCGCAUACUAUCGGAUAACCCAUAUGGGCUUGGCUGGUAGUUGGGGUACAGGCUCACCUGGGCGACGAUCUCUAGCUGGUCUGAUAGGAUGAUCAGCCACACUGGGACAGAUACCGGGCCCAGCUUCCAACGGAGGCACCGUUGGGGAAUAUUGGACAUGGGGCGCAAGCCUGAUGCAUCCAGGCGGCUGGUUGGUAGAAGGCCUUGGGGUGGUAAAGUACUUUCAGCGGGGAGGCGGUACCCGCAUAAGAAGCACCGGCUAACUCCGUGCCAGCCGCCGCGGUAAUUC